rnacentral:rRNA from 1 species
AUUGAACGCUGGCGGCAUGCCUUACACAUGCAAGUCGAACGGCAGCACGGGGGCAACCCUGGUGGCGAGUGGCGAACGGGUGAGUAAUGCAUCGGAACGUGCCCAGUAGUGGGGGAUAACUAGUCGAAAGAUUAGCUAAUACCGCAUACGACCUAUGGGUGAAAGCGGGGGAUUCGCAAGAACCUCGCGCUAUCGGAGCGGCCGAUGUCUGAUUAGCUAGUUGGCGGGGUAAAGGCCCACCAAGGCUUCGAUCAGUAGCUGGUCUGAGAGGACGACCAGCCACACUGGGACUGAGACACGGCCCAGACUCCUACGGGAGGCAGCAGUGGGGAAUUUGGACAAUGGGCGCAAGCCUGAUCCAGCCAU